rnacentral:rRNA from 1 species
UGCGGAGGGUCCAAGCGUUGUCCGGAAUCACUGGGUGUAAAGGGUGCGCAGGCGGGCUUAUAAGUCAGGGGGGAAAGCCACCGGCUCAACCGGUGAAUUGCCCUUGAUACUGUAAGUCUUGAGUCCUGGAGGGGCUGUCGGAAUUCGUGGUGUAGCGGUGAAAUGCGUAGAUAUCAGGAGGAACACCGGUGGUGUAGACGGCUUACUGGACCGCAACUGACGCUGAGACACGAAAGCGUGGGUAGCAAACAGG